rnacentral:rRNA from 1 species
GACGAACGCUGGCGGCGUGCUUAACACAUGCAAGUCGAACGGAAAGGCCCUGCUUUUGUGGGGUGCUCGAGUGGCGAACGGGUGAGUAACACGUGAGUAACCUGCCCUUGACUUUGGGAUAACUUCAGGAAACUGGGGCUAAUACCGGAUAGGAGCUCCUGCUGCAUGGUGGGGGUUGGAAAGUUUCGGCGGUUGGGGAUGGACUCGCGGCUUAUCAGCUUGUUGGUGGGGUAGUGGCUUACCAAGGCUUUGACGGGUAGCCGGCCUGGGAGGGUGACCGGCCACAUUGGGACUGAGAUACGGCCAAGACUCAUACGGGAGGCAGCAGUGGGGAAUAUUGCACAAUGGGCGGAAGCCUGAUGGAGCAACGCCGGGUGCGGGAUGACGGCAUUCGGGUUGUAAACCGCUUUCGCCUGUGACGAAGCGUGAGUGACGGUAAUGGGUAAAGAAGCACCGGCUAACUACGG